GACAGAGGAUGCAAGCGUUAUCCGGAAUGAUUGGGCGUAAAGCGUCUGUAGGUGGCUUUUAAGUCCGCCGUCAAAUCCCAGGGCUCAACCCUGGACAGGCGGUGGAAACUACCAAGCUGGAGUACGGUAGGGGCAGAGGGAAUUUCCGGUGGAGCGGUGAAAUGCGUAGAGAUCGGAAAGAACACCAAGCGAGAACGACUCUGCUGGGCCGAACAUCGUGACUGAGAGACGAAAGCUAGGGGAGCGAAUGGG
rnacentral:rRNA from 1 species